GCCACUGUUAACUCAACAUGCCACUAAAAAUGCCACUGCUAACGGGGAAGAUGCCGUGGAAUCUCAACAUGCCCCUAAAAUGCCACUGUUAACUCAACCUGCCACUAAAAAUGCCACUGCUAACUCAACAUGCCACUAAAAAGGCCACUGCUAACUCAACAUGCCACUAAAAAGGCCACUGCUAACUCAACAUGCCACUACAAAUGCCACUGCUAACUCAACCUACCACCAGAAAUGCCACUGCUAAUGGGGAAGAUGCCGUGGCAUCUCAACAUGCCACUAAAAAUGCCACUGCUAACUCAACAUGUCACUAAAAAUGCCACUGCUAACUCAACCUACCACCAGAAAUGCCACUGCUAACGGGGAAGAUGCCGUGGCAUCUCAACCUGCCACCGGAAAUGCCACUGCGAGCUGCCGAUGCCGCAAAUUGAGCUAGCCCCUGCUGCAUGGCUGAGCCGCGAAAACUAACGAGAAUGGCGGUUCUACCAGACAGGAUGUAUCGAUAUAUUUGGUUGUCAAACGGCAACAAUAAUCAGAACUAAAUAGUUAAGUUUUAUCCUGAAUUUCUAUCAUUGCAGCCUGUAUAGUUCUAACACAAUUUGAAUCUAACGUGAAGAACGAUGACAUGUAACCAAUGACAAAGUUAAGAGGGUGACUUGCUGGAGGCGCCCCGGCUGCGAUGUGAAGACAGUAGUUAAUUCCACAGAAGUCAGCUGUUGUUUCAAGCGCGGAGUAUAUCGUUUCUGUUGUAAGUACAAGUUCUUUUAUUUGAAAUAAUUUAUUUGAAUUGUGCUGCAAUUACAAACGCUAACAAACGAGACAUUUGAACUUUUUAAGAAUGUGUAAAUCAAUUUUACGAUUGCGCAAUCCAUGCAUUUAUAGCUGUCUUACAUAUUGCCUGUUUAAAUCUCCGGUUGAGGUUGAGCGGAAUUAAACACCUGCCGGGUUUGGUAAACACAUUUUUGGACCUUCAAAUCUUGACCAAGUGACCAGCAUCUGCGUCAGUUGGACUGGGUGGUUGUGAUCUUACACAACCUGAGCAGAUACUUUUUGU
ensembl:lncRNA